rnacentral:rRNA from 1 species
UGUUGCAGUUAAGCUCGUAGUUGGAUUUCUGGUGGGAUCGUCCGGUCCGCUCCGCAAGGGGUGUGCACUAGCGACGCGUCCGGCCACUUUUGCGCCAAACGUUUCUGUCAUUAAGUUGUCGGGGACGGGAGGCGCAUCGUUUACUGUGAAAAAAUUAGAGUGUUUAAAGCAGGCAAUCGCUGUGAAUACAUUAGCAUGGAAUAAUAAGAUAGGACUUUGGUGCUAUUUUGUUGGUUUGCACACCAAGGUAAUGAUUAACAGGGACAGUUGGGGGUAUUCGUAUUUAGAUGUCAGGGGUGAAAUUCUUGGAUUUUCGAAAGACGAACUUCUGCGGAAGCAUUUACCAAGGAUGUUUUCAUUAAUCAAGAACGAAAGUUAGGGGAUCGAAGAUGAUUAGAUACCAUCGUAGUCUUAACCAUAAACUAUGCCGACUAGGGAUUGGCAGAUGUUAUCAAAUGACUCUGUCAGCACCUUACGAGAAAUCAAAGUCUUUGGGUUCCGGGGGGAGUAUGGUCGCAAGGCUGAAACUUAAAGGAAUUGACGGAAGGGCACCACCAGGAGUGGAGCCUGCGGCUUAAUUUGACUCAACACGGGAAAACUUACCAGGUCCAGACAAAGUAAGGAUUGACAGAUUGAGAGCUCUUUCUUGAUUCUUUGGGUGGUGGUGCAUGGCCGUUCUUAGUUGGUGGAGUGAUUUGUCUGGUUGAUUCCGUUAACGAACGAGACCUCAGCCUGCUAAAUAGUGGCGUUUUCCUUUGGAAGGCGACCGACUUCUUAGAGGGACUAUUGGGUUCAACCCAGUGGAAGUU